CUUUUGUAGUUUAAUUAAAACAUUAUAUUUUCAAUAUAAAAUUGCUAUCCCAAAAGAAG
rnacentral:tRNA from 1 species